rnacentral:lncRNA from 1 species
AAAAGACGAAUUCCCCUCCUGCAAUCAAUCAAAUAGGAAACGAGAGAGUGUUGGCUUGCGGAUAUUCAACCGAUCGAAAAGGAAUCCAAACAAAGAAGUUCUAUUUUGAAUUUAUUUCAUAGAGGGUUGACGUAUUCGUUCAUUCCCUUCCCAUGCCUGACCCUGAAACUUUGUUGCUCUUUUCUCCCUCGUGGAUCAUCCGUU